rnacentral:rRNA from 1 species
UACGGAGGGUGCAAGCGUUAUCCGGAUUCACUGGGUUUAAAGGGUGCGUAGGUGGGCAGGUAAGUCAGUGGUGAAAUCUCCGGGCUUAACUCGGAAACUGCCAUUGAUACUAUCUUUCUUGAAUACCGUGGAGGUCAGCGGAAUAUGUCAUGUAGCGAUGAAAUGCUUAGAUAUGACAUAGAACACCAAUUGCGAAGGCAGCUGGCUACACGAAUAUUGACACUGAUGCACGAAAGCGUGGGGAUCAAACAGG